AGUGAACGCUGGCGGUAGGCCUAACACAUGCAAGUCGAACGGCAGCACGGUAAGAGCUUGCUCUUACGGGUGGCGAGUGGCGGACGGGUGAGGAAUACAUCGGAAUCUACUUUUUCGUGGGGGAUAACGUAGGGAAACUUACGCUAAUACCGCAUACGACCUACGGGUGAAAGCAGGGGAUCUACGGACCUUGCGCGAUUGAAUGAGCCGAUGUCGGAUUAGCUAGUUGGCGGGGUAAAGGCCCACCAAGGCGACGAUCCGUAGCUGGUCUGAGAGGAUGAUCAGCCACACUGGAACUGAGACACGGUCCAGACUCCUACGGGAGGCAGCAGUGGGGAAUAUUGGACAAUGGGCGCAAGCCUGAUCCAGCCAUACCGCGUGGGUGAAGAAGGCCUUCGGGUUGUAAAGCCCUUUUGUUGGGAAAGAAAAGCAGCAGGUUAAUACCCCGCUGUUCUGACGGUACCCAAAGAAUAAGCACCGGCUAACUGCGU
rnacentral:rRNA from 1 species